rnacentral:rRNA from 1 species
CCUACGGGUGGCUGCAGUGGGGAAUAUUGCACAAUGGGCGCAAGCCUGAUGCAGCCAUGCCGCGUGUGUGAAGAAGGCCUUCGGGUUGUAAAGCACUUUCAGCGGGGAGGAAGGCGUUAAGGUUAAUAACCUUGUCGAUUGACGUUACCCGCAGAAGAAGCACCGGCUAACUCCGUGCCAGCAGCCGCGGUAAUACGGAGGGUGCAAGCGUUAAUCGGAAUUACUGGGCGUAAAGCGCACGCAGGCGGUCUGUCAAGUCGGAUGUGAAAUCCCCGGGCUCAACCUGGGAACUGCAUUCGAAACUGGCAGGCUAGAGUCUUGUAGAGGGGGGUAGAAUUCCAGGGGUAGCGGUGAAAUGCGUAGAGAUCUGGAGGAAUACUGGUGGCGAAGGCGGCCCCCUGGACAAAGACUGACGCUCAGGUGCGAAAGCGUGGGGAGCAAACAGGAUUAGAUACCCGAGUAGUC